rnacentral:piRNA from 1 species
UGCAAUGCAAAUAGUGUGUUCUGAAGUGA